GGCCGGUUAGCUCAGCUGGUUAGAGCGUGGUGCUAAUAACGCCAAGGUGGCGGGUUCGAGCCCCGUAUUGGCCA
rnacentral:tRNA from 2 species